rnacentral:rRNA from 1 species
AUUGAACGCUGGCGGCAGGCCUAACACAUGCAAGUCGAGCGCGCGGCGGACGGGUGAGUAAUGUAUGGGGAUCUGCCCGAUAGAGGGGGGUAACUACUGGAAAAGGUAGAUAUUAUAGCAUACUCCCGGCUGAAGCCAUAUGGGGUUAGCUAGUAGGUGGGGUAAUGGCGCACCUAGGCGACGAUCCCGAGCUGGUCUGAGAGGGUGACCAGCCACACUGGAACUGAGACACGGCCCAGACUCCUACGGGAGGCAGCAGUGGGGAAUAUUGCACAAUGGGCGCAAGCCUGAUGCAGCCAUGCCGCGUGUAUGAAGAAGGCCCUAGGGUUGUAAAGUACUUUUGGCAGAGAAGCGGUAUCUGCAGAAUAAGCACCGGCUAACUACGUGCCAGCAGCCGCGGUAAUAC